rnacentral:rRNA from 1 species
UCAGACCUACGGGACGCAGCAGUGAGGAAUAUUGGUCAAUGGUCGGGAGACUGAACCAGCCAAGCCGCGUGAGGGAGGAAGGUACAGAGUAUCGUAAACCUCUUUUGUCAGGGAACAAAGGCGGGGACGUGUCCCCGGAUGAGUGUACCUGAAGAAAAAGCAUCGGCUAACUCCGUGCCAGCAGCCGCGGUAAUACGGAGGAUGCGAGCGUUAUCCGGAUUUAUUGGGGUUAAAGGGGGCGCAGGCGGUCUGUUAAGGCAGCGGUCAAAGCCCGGGGCUCAACCCCGGCCCGC